rnacentral:rRNA from 1 species
CUUGGUCAUUUAGAGGAAGUAAAAGUCGUAACAAGGUUUCCGUAGGUGAACCUGCGGAAGGAUCAUUCAUAACGAGUGUUUAUGGCACUCUAAAAAUCCAUACCCACCUUGUGUGCAGCGUUAAGAGUCUUUUGUCUCUCUUUCAGAGGGCACGAGAUUUCUUUUAAUUAAUCUACCUUAAACCAGUUUGUCUGAAGCAUUGUAUCAUGAAUAAACAUAAUUCAAAAUACAACUUUCGACAACGGAUCUCUUGGCUCUCGCAUCGAUGAAGAACGCAGCGAAAUGCGAUACGUAAUGUGAAUUGCAGAAUUCAGUGAAUCAUCGAAUCUUUGAACGCACAUUGCGCUCUCUGGUAUUCCGGAGAGCAUGCUUGUUUGAGUAUCAGUAAAACACCCUCAGUUCUCUUUUUGAGAACUGGACUUGAGUCAUCCCAACGGCAGUUUCAAAACUACUGGCGGGUCGCUUGAAAUGCAGGUGCGGCUGGACACAUCUUCUGAGCUAUAAGCAUUACUUAUUUAAUCCCGUCAGACGGAUUAUUUCUACUGCUACAGCUAUAUAAGGUCGAUUGUCCGUUUGCCCGACUGAUGCAGAAAAAACAGAGAGAAAUCUUUGUUCACUCGAUCUCAAAUCAAGUAAGACUACCCGCUGAACUUAAGCAUAUCAAUAAGCGGAGGA